rnacentral:tRNA from 1 species
GGGCGGUUAGCUCAGUUGGCAGAGCGCUUCUGUGACAUGGAAGAGGUCGCUGGUUCAAGCCCAACACCGCCUACCA